rnacentral:lncRNA from 1 species
CUAUAAAAUAUUCAUAAUUAUUAUUGAAAAACAAAAUUCAUCACUUUUGAAGGUGUGAAUUGCAUAUUUAAUUAUUGGAUUGCUUAUCUUUAAUUUUGAUUUUGAAAGUUGGUUAAAAUUACACUCAAAUACAAACGCUAGGUAUGUAAAAUGACGCAAAUUGGGCUUUUUUUCAGUCAAUUAGUCUUCGAUUUAUAUACCAAAUAGAAAAACAUACUUUAAGUGAAGUUGUUUGAUUGAACUAAUAGUGAAUCAAAUGAAUUGAUAUGAAUUAAUUAAUUUAGUUGAUUCUUUUCUUUUCAACUCUGGAUGUUGAAAGACUUUCUGAUUGAUUCCCCAGCUAUCAAGCAUGAUUCUUCAUUUUGUACCCAGAUUCUAGUGUUUCCACAAUAUUUAGGUGUUCUCUGAACAGUAGACUUGUGACAAUAAUGACAUAGUCCAAAAGGUAUUUUCCUUUCAUCUGGUAGAUAUUCCCUCUUAUUCCUUUUCUCUCUUUUGUUUUUGAUCUUCUGCUAUAUUUUCUACUGUUUUCCAACUCAUUAUGAUGUUUUCAUAUCCAUCUUAGAUGGACCAUUUAUUGUGAUCUUUUAUUUCAAUGGGGUCACUACCUUUUCUAUAUUUGUUUGAUCAAUUUUUAUUAUUUUAUUAUUUAAGCAAGUUUUAGUGGAGUUAAAUAUGUGCACAUAGUGACACCUAACAAUGAUUCUUUAUAUAUAUAUAUAUAUAUAUUUUAUAUAAUCAAAUUAUACAGAACAGAGUGCCUUUUGAUCAAUCUAUAAUCUAUAUUUUUCAAUUAACAGCAUUUCCAGUUGCCACAUGAUCGCUCCAUAUUUGUCAAAAUACCAUAUUUUUUAUAUAUUUUUUCUGAUUCACAUGGAUGUAUAUGAUCUGUAAUCAAUUUGACAACUAUAAUUUUUUGUCUGUGUAUAAGCUAUUAUGUUUGUGAUAGCAAGUGACUUUGUUUUAGGUCUCUUUUUAAUCUAUCUCACCGCAAUAUAGUUUAAAAGUUAUGUUUAAUAAAAAAGAAAAUUAUAAACAAAGAUAGGGCAAAAAAAGGAAGUAAAUGGGGCCAGCACGAACUCAUCUUGAAACUGUUUGUGAGCUUCUGGUUGAGCAAGUUUUGAGCUGAGUUCCACUUCAUACUGGUUAGCUAAUGGCAAAAAGGUUAGCUCAAAGAAGAAAAUUCAAGUUGAAUUCACGUUUGGCUCUAAAGUUUAGCUUCUUUCGGCUUUAUGAAAUUUACAAAUCUAGCUGGAAUCAUUCCAAUCUACUUUCUCAACAACUCCUCUGUUUGUGUUAUUUCCUUUUUUAUACAAAUGUGGCAGUUCAUUGUCCAUUCCUUCUUUAUGUUUUCACAUCUGUCCUAAUAUUCUCAUGUUCACUUUGUUGAUCUUGUCUGCCUGUUUCUUCGUGGCCCAUUCUUGUCAUAAGUAAUAGUUGGAUGAAUCUCAAUCCUAUUGAGCUUCCAUUUCAUACUGGUUUAUGCAUUGCAAAUUGCUUUUUGGUGAACUUGUUUCCUUGCCAGAAACUUGAAGAUUUGUGAAUCCUAAGCCCAUAAGUUACUAAUUAACCAUCUAUUAUUGAGGAACGUGCCAUUUUGCUUCUAUAAGCUCAAGGUAGGAUUGGUAAAAGAGAAUGGACAAGGUGCUAAGAGUAAUUAUAUUUUCCAUGGAUCAGUUGAUUAUUGUUGUUUAGUGGAACCGUUCAAUAGCAGGAAAACGAGCAAGUCUAUGAAAAGAAAUAGACAACAACAUGGGAUGAGAGAGUAUUUGGCAAAUAUUUAAAAGAAAAUAGACAAUGACAGGGGGAUGAGAGAGUAUUUGGCAAAUAUUUAACAGUUAAAGAACACUAUUAGCUUUUGUUUUGGGUGUAAGAUGCUUAAAUUUUGUAAGUCCAUGAUAUGGGAUUAUUGACCAGUAAAUGAUUGAUGAUGCGAUUUCCUAUUGUUUCAUGAUACCAGAAUUUAUUUUGAGUUGAAUUUCUCUUGGUUUGUUUGUUUAAUUUAAUUUAGUUAAUAAUGAAAUUGUUAUUUGUUCAUAGAAUCUACUUACCAUUUUCUGUGGUCACGCCUUAAUAUUGUUUUUGUUAUGUUUACCAGGGC